GUUUAUUUUUAAAAUUCACCGUGUAAUUAUAUUUUAUACAACCAAUGCAUAAAUUCUAUUCCACCAAGUAGACACUUUUAUUUCAAAUUGUUUUGUGCUAAACGUAGUCCAUCAAACCAUGGGGUCCCUGAUCAAGCUGCUAUUAGCGUUAAUCAUCAUUGUGCAAUGUUGCACGCACGGACAUCGUGUAAGACGCCAAGCCAAAGGUGAUGGUGAUGGUGAUGGUAGUGAGACAUCUGUUCCCUCAAUCAAUGCAGAAGAGCAUUCUUCUUUCUUCGCGGACGUAACCAACAUGCUUGAAGAUAUACCCUCUGAAUUUAGAAAGUUAAUCGUCGAAAUCAUUGAGCCCAUUAAGAAACUUAAACAUGUAUUAAACAAUGCAUAACUUUCAUUAAACAAUGUAAUGAACUAAAUAAAUAUUUUGAUUUCUAUUUUAUCCUAUGUAGGUUAUAGCUUCUUAAAAAAAACAACAUUCUUUUGGGGUACUCAGUCAAUUAAUAUCAACUUUUCACUUGUGAAUAGUAAGGUAAACUAAACAAAGAGAAAUCAAAUCCUACAAACAAAGAUUCAGAAAGUCGACAUACAAAACAUCCCCUUUAUCUUCUUUCUGAAAGUCAGCAGUAAAAUAAAUGAUUUGAAAGAAGCCUUCGAUUUUGUUAAGUUAAAAAUGAAUUAAGUACAUAUGUAAAUAUGUACCUAUUAUAUGAUUUUUUUAUGUAUCCGAAGACGGAUUAUGUAUUAGCUACUCACUAAUGUAGUAGUAGGUUUACGUAAAAUAAAAGUUUAGGCUUUGAAAUUUUCUUCCCAAGCUUCCUUGGGAGUCCGCGAGAAGGGAAUAAUAAUAAACUUUUAUUACUCAUGAAGACUCUUUUAAUGGAAUCUCGUUGUUGGCCUUAAGGGCCGUUACAACUCAGCUUGACAUGUUUUGACAAGCGUAGCUCGGCCGGAAUUGACGUUUUCUCUGUGGGACCUGAAGGGUAUGAUGGAAGCUCACUGGAGUGAGUUCUUACUUUAAGAAGGCAGGCAGGCAGCGUUUAACUUUUUGUUGGAUCUUCUAGAUCAUUUAGGACAUGCCAGGGCCUCCUGCAAAUCUGCUAAGUAAAACAAUACCGUGUUCCAAAUGCAACAACUGCCAUCGAGUGAUCGGUACGAAAAUUAACUAAUUAAUUAAACAGGCUUAAAUAAACUAUGUAUUUUACAACAUCAUUAAAGAGAAUUCCAGCUCUUAUCAAAUAAAUUAAUGCACCGAUAAAACCUUUAUGAGUCAGUAACAAAAAACAUGUUUCCUUUUUUAGUAGAUAGUCAUUAUGUGCGAUUCUUUAACGCAGUAAGCAUCAGCAAAGGAUUAAAUUUAGCAAUUAAGAUGACAAUUCGCUUUCUCGUC